rnacentral:rRNA from 1 species
GAUCCUGGCUCAGAUUGAACGCUGGCGGCAGGCCUAACACAUGCAAGUCUAACGGUAACAGAAAGCAGCUUGCUGCUUUGCUGACGAGUGGCGGACGGGUGAGUAAUGUCUGUGAAACUGCCCGAUGGAGGGGGAUAACUACUGGAAACGGUAGCUAAUACCGCAUAACGUCGCAAGACCAAAGAGGGGGGACCUUCGGGCCUCUUGCCAUCGGAUGUGCCCAGAUGGGAUUAGCUAGUAGGG